rnacentral:rRNA from 1 species
GCGGAUCGUGUAGCAGUCUACACUGCGAGUCUAGCGGAACGAGUUAUCUGAACCUUCGGGGUACUAUUGCGGCUUCAACUGACGCACGGCUGAGCUUUGGUGGCGACAAUGCCGGGAUGUGGACGAACACGAAGACCAAGCAAAGAGAUCUGAACCAAAAGUACAAGCAGUUAAUUGGGCGUACUCUUAUCCUUGAA